UAAUUAGUUAUUUUUAAUAAAAAAAAUUUUAAAUUUAAUAUUUUAAUGGGGGUUAAAGUAUUUAAAAAGAAAAAAUUUUUAUCUUUAUAGUGAAUUAGUAUUGUAAAAGAAUUUUGAAAUAUUUGAAAAUAAAUUUAUUUAAAAGUAAAUUUAAUUUAUUGUAUCUUGUGUAUCAGAGUUUAUUAAUAAUUUUUAAUAUAAUAUUAAUUUCUCGAAUUUAAAAGAACUAAUUAAUUAAUAAAGUUAUUGUGGCAAAACUAUUUUUAAUAAUUAAUUUGAAAUGAAAUGUUAUUCGUUUUUGAAUAUAUCUAGUUUUUUCAGAAAAAAAUUUAAUUUUAAAUUUUUUUUAAUGAUUAAAUUAAUUAAUUAAUUUAAUUAAGAUAAAAUUUUAUAUUUUAAGGGAUAAGCUUUAAGUUAAAAAUUUAUAAUGAUUUUUUUUUAAUUGAAAAUUUUAUAAUUUAUAUUGUUAAUAAAAUUUAAUUUAUUAUAAAUAAUUUCAUUUUUAAAAGAUUUAAUUUUAAUUUAAUUUUUUAUGAAAAAGAAAAUUUUAAUAAUAAGAAUUUGGUUAUAAUGAUAAAAUUAGUAUAUUUAUUUUUAAAGUUUAUUUUUUAAUUUAAUUAAUUAAUAAAAAGGAAUUCGGCAAAUAAAUAUAUUCACUUGUUUAACAAAAACAUGUCUUUUUGAAAUUAAUUUAAAGUCUAAUCUGCCCACUGAUUUAAUUAUUAAAGGGCUGCAGUAUAUUGACUGUACAAAGGUAGCAUAAUCAUUAGUCAUUUAAUUGAUGACUUGUAUGAAGGAUUGAAUGAAAUAUAAACUGUCUCUUUAUUAAUUUAUGUAAUUUAAUUUUUUAAUUAAAAAGUUAAAAUAUUUUAAAAAGACGAGAAGACCCUAUAGAGUUUUAUAAAUAAUUUUAUUUAAUAUUAUUUAUAAAAUUUAAAAUAAAAAUAAGGUUAUUUAUUUUGUUGGGGUGACAAAAAAAUAAAAUAAACUUUUUUAAAAAAAAAUCAUAAAUAAGUGAGUAUAUGAUCCAAUAUUAUUGAUUAUAAGAAAAAAUUACCUUAGGGAUAACAGCGUAAUUUUUUUUUUUAGUUCAAAUAAGAAAAAGAGUUUGCGACCUCGAUGUUGGAUUAAGAUAAAAUUUAAAUGCAAAAGUUUAAAAUUUUGAUCUGUUCGAUCAUUAAAAUCUUACAUGAUCUGAGUUCAAACCGGUGUAAGCCAGGUUGGUUUCUAUCUUUUAAAAAAAAAAUAUUUUAGUACGAAAGGAUCAAAUAUUUAAAUUAAAUUUAUAUUAAAGAAUAUUAUUAAU
rnacentral:rRNA from 1 species